UACGUAGGGGGCAAGCGUUGUCCGGAAUCAUUGGGCGUAAAGAGCGCGUAGGCGGCCCGAUAAGUCCGCUGUGAAAGUCAAGGGCUCAACCCUUGAAUGCCGGUGGAUACUGUCGGGCUAGAGUCCGGAAGAGGCGAGUGGAAUUCCUGGUGUAGCGGUGAAAUGCGCAGAUAUCAGGAGGAACACCAAUGGCGAAGGCAGCUCGCUGGGACGGUACUGACGCUGAGGCGCGAAAAGCGUGGGGGAGCAAACAGG
rnacentral:rRNA from 1 species